ACUAAUUAGCUCCCCUGCCGCAGCUCGCCUGCCAGGUGGUUUUCUUAAUUAGUUAAUUGGUUGCAUCUGGUGCGUUUCACUUAAAAGGGAACCGGACAGUACAUUUGUUUGUGUACUGUUUUGAGGUCUGUUGUGACUUAUUUAACAUCUCUUCCAGUUUCACAGGUUAAAGACUUUUUGAAGUAACGAGGAGCAUCUCAACUGAACCUGAUGUCUAUCAUGGAUAUUUAACUGCAGUUCUGUGAGUAUCCCAACUUUACCAUGAAGCAUAACUGCAAACUGUAAGUCAUUCAUUUCUCAUUACUCUUGGGCAGUCACAUUGAUGUAUUUUGGCUUCCUGGUGAGUUAACCUGUUACCUGAAGGUUGAUCUGCAUAGUAAGGAUGUUUUAUUGGUUCAUGGGUUACUUAGUUUGGUUUAUGUUGGUUUUAAUGAUUUGUUAAAAUGGUUACAGGCUCCAAGUUAUUGUUGUAAGCUGGAGUAAUGGGUUGGGUUCUGAUAUCUUCAGUCUUCUUUCAUUCUACUCUCCUGAGCUCUGCAUCUUCAUUACAUGAGUGUUGCUUUACUGAUGAAGGAGUGGUCUGAUUGAGCAGAGGUGCAUGCUGGGAUACAGAGCUGUCUGAAGUCUACAGGUCUGUAGACACGCCCCCUCAGGGGAAACCGAGUGUUUGGGAUACUGUCGUGACGUCAGUUACAUGGACUGGAAAGUUCUUAAAGAUGGAGACAGGGAUUCAGAAGGAGAAACACCAGGGGGAGAUGAGGGGGCUCCUCAUCUCAACAACUAAAACACAACUUCAGUCUGACACAGAGAACCAUGAAACACAUUCAACAGUCCCCUCGAGGCAUCGUGACUCCUCAGGAACGGUUUCAUUUCCAAGAAGAUCUUAUUUGGGGCCAUCCCCAUAUGGAUCCUGCUCCUCAAGAGCCAACCCCCUCCACUGGGUGGUCUUCUGAACAGAUGACCUCCUUCCUGUCCUCAGGCUGACUAAAGCUGCACCGUUUGCAUCUGUGACGGCCCCUCAUUCAGGAAACCACUGGACUACAAAGACAUGACUUCAGAGAUGUUGAAUCAACCUGGGACACACUGGAGACGCCAAGCAUAAUCCAACACCAAUGUGGGACGCCACUGAAGAAUGUUGGACAUAAUUCACGUCUCUGGAGACGUUGGUUGUUCUGUUCUGGGUGCCCUGGCAGGAGAGCUGGGGGGGGGGGAUGAUGGAAUGUUAUUUGGCAUUAGGUUUUUACCCUGCAUGAAUGUUUGGCCUUCUAUGGCUCAGUGGUUUGUGCGUUUGGGUUUGACAUGAGAUGGAUGAUUUUUGUGCAUCGCUAGGGUUCUACUGUGUGUGUGUGUCUCCCACUCACACCUGGCAUGGGGUUCUACGUGCCUGUCCUGGGUUCUGUGUGUGUGUGUGUGUGUGUGUCCGGCUUGCUUUGACAGUGAUAAUGUGCAUACGGGGGUCUGUGUGAUUGGCUUGGGAUAUUGGAAUGGUCAACUAAAUCAUACCUGAUGGACGGCCACACGUUUACUUAAGGGCCUCCAGUGGACAUGAAGAGCCCUGAGCGACGCUCCGGAGCGAGAUCCAACACACUGGGCAGGAAGGAGAGUAUCCAACUCGAGUGUAAAAGGAUGCAAGCGGCGUGUUCAGAUCAGUGACUUCAAACUAGGACUACACUAAUCAGGAUCAAUGGAGGAUGGACACCAAAAGGAAUUCCACAAGGAGUCUGACGUGGGAAAGGGACCUAAAUGGAUGUUCAAGAUGACCUUCAGACCUGUAAUGAGACGGCUCUUCCUACCUGGCUGGAUUGAUGGAGAGCCCUGUGGAUCUUGUCUUGCUCUCAGUUGCACGUCUUCUCAGGCUGAACUGUAUUUGUUUCGGACAGGACUAGCUGAACGAUUGGUUCCCUUAAAUCAGAACCAGAACUCAGAAUCAGAACUCCAGCUAGUGCGCUCUUCGAGCAGAAGUUGUGCUAUUCAGCUGAGGAGGUAAGGAAACCUUCACUGGGGCUUCAAAGUGUAAAGAGGAGAAUGUUUCAAAGUGUUCCAUGGUACUCUGAUGAAGACCGUUGUUGUGUUCCACUGGCUGAGAGGAAGAACCCACACAUCUUCCUCUGGGCUUUCUCCUCUGAGAAUCCUGGCGCCAUCUUGAAGGAUAUUCCAGCUCAUGCAACUGAUGUCAUGACAGAUUCUCAACACUUGGUUUCUCCUGAGGGGCGUGUCUAUGGAACUGAAGACUUCAGACAGCACUGUAUCCCAGCAUGCAUCUCUGCUCACUCAGACCACACCCCCAUGAGUAGGAUGCAACACUCUAGUGAUAGAGAUGUAGAGUUUUAUAAGUAAUGAGGGAGCAGACUAAGGUGAUUAGAACACAAUGGAAUGUCAAGUCUGUAAAUCUUUAAACCAUGAAGAUGGUUGAUAGUUCAGGAAUGGUUGGCUGGCUGGCAUGAUUUGCUGUUGGUGAUGAGGCGGUCAGGGUGAUGUUGCAGGGCUAUGGUCGGCUCUCUGUGAGCUCAACGUUUAGAUUUGCUCUGUAUGGUUUGUACCCUGAAUAAUCUAGAUAAUUGUAAAAUGUAGACACGGUUUUGUAUUGAAUGUUUUUAGGUUUAAAGUUGUUGUGGGACGUACAUGGUAGUUUGGUUCUUCGUAUGGUUUUGAGUGAUAUAAGUUGUACACACUGGGUGCAUAAUAAUGUAAAGGUACACUGAAUAGUAGUAAUGACCAACAGCAACAAACAGAUCUCCUCAAGGUAAGUCUGUUGGCUGUGUUUUAAUGAAGACCAUCGCUGGACCUCAGGAUCUUCCUCCGUUCAGCUCAAGGUGAGGUGCUGGUUCUGUUUUUUCUUUGGUUGGUUCCGGCCGGAAUGUUCGGAUUCCAGUCGGACGGUUUGUGCUUCCCGCCAUGGAAGGUUCUGAGUGCGGUCACUUGAUUUAGUCCCAAUGGUUAGCAUAGAACAUUGUAGUCUUGACAACCAUGAGAAACCACCUGGCAGUUAGUUGGACGGGAGUCCCCUGAGGGAAUCUGGCGGAUCAUUCUUGAUUGUAUUUGCGUAACCUCGAGCCGUUGCCAACGGAAACUAUUUUGGUUUUUACUAACUCUAUUGUCGGUUUCCAUUGGGAAUUGUUGCCCCUAUCUUAAACAACUUAAGUUUGAUAUUAAUUACAUACUGACGCGUACGUCGUACAAUAUGUUGAUAAUUUCCGAUGGUUGCGCCAUACUUUUAAUCACGAUGACGUUGCGGGACUCUCACUGCGUACAAAACAGCGUUCUACUUGCGUGCCCAUUUUUGACAUCGGAAGGCUGAAAAUCAUUUCAAGGUGGAAGAUAAUUUGACAUUUCUUCAACGGAACCCAGCACCUGAAUAUGGCUGAGUAUAUUUGAUUUAAUAUCGAUACUGCUUAGUGUUCUUUGUUACUUCAGCUUUUGUACGUUCCAAAUAUCUGCUGUCAUUAAUUGCCACAGAAGUUAAACCCUACCCAAUGGAAUGACGUUAAACAACGACUUUGGUGCAGAGUUACCGACUGGAUAAUAUCAAAGCUAAAAUAAUGGCCGUAAUUCCCACAUCUUACAGUAGAAGAUACUCUAGAACUGUACAAGGUUAACAAGGUAACAUGUAGUUUGUCCCAAGGUGUCUGCCUCCUCACCCAGAGCCAGACCUCCACCUCCUCGCCCAGAGCCAGACCUCCACCUCCUCACCCAGAGCCAGACCUCCACCUCCUGUCAGAAGUCCUCCAGAACAGCUGAAAGGCGAGGCUGAGAGGCUGGGGACCGGAGGCUUGUGGUGCCAGGGUGGACCGGAGACUGAGGCUGGAGACCAGGGGCCUGCAGCACCGGACCAGAGGGUGAUUUACUGCUGAGACCAACUGUGUUUGUAACCAGACCAGGAAUCCAUGGCUGAAGGAGCUGAUGGAGGAGCCGUGCUGAAGGAGCUGAUGGAGGAGCCGCGCUGAAGGCCCUGCCUGGUGGAGGAGCUGGUGGAGGCCCUGCCUGGUGAAGGACGUCUGUCGUGGGACCAGGACUCUGUCUGAGGAGAGCUGCUGGAGGAGCAGAGACGCUGGAGGACGACUAGGAAUCGACCAACAAGGAUUCCUCAACGUGUUUCUGGAGCGGAGGCGAGCUGGUAGAGGAGCCAUGAAUCUGGAGGAUGACCAUCACUCUACCACCAAGGAUUACUUUAGGGCCAGACUUGCGCUGUUUGUUCCAGAUCAGGACUCUGGCUGAGGGGAGCUGAUGGAGGAGGCAAGACUCUGGAGGACGACAUCACUCCACCAACCAGGAUCCUCACCAGGAAUCUGGAGGACUGAUGGAGAAGCCGUACAUCUGGAAGGCAAAUCCUGAGGACCACCAGGACUCUACCAUCAAGGAUUCCUCGUAAGUUUGCAUUAUCUGGACAUAGUGGACUAGACACACCUGAGCUGAACCUCACCUGAUCCUGUGUGGUCGGGGGUAGACACAUCUGAGCUAAACCCGCCCUGAUCCUGACAUCCUGCUGGUCCCGUCUCCUCAGUUCAUCUGAGCCUCGUCCUCCAGAAGACCUGCUGAGCUCAGCUGUCUGAGGCUGAUGGAUCAAUGUGGGAGUGAUCUUCUUGACCCCACAUGUAACCGUGUGCUUCCACACGCCUUUCCCUCACGUCUGUCACUAACCUCACUACUUCACUACUCUCUACUGCUUCCUCUUUUCUUCCUUCUCUGUGGUUCGAACCUUUACACGGAAGGCGCGUCUUCCUGCCCUCAGAGGGUUUAGCGUUAGGGUUGAGAGUCAGGGUUUAGAGUCAGGGACAGAGCUGGUCAGGGAGGACUGCUUUAACACAAACCUCUUCACUUGCUUUCAGAAUGGUGGUGACAUUUUGAAAAGAUUCAUUUGGGAAAAUGUUUUCCUCUGGUUUCUGUGUGUUGAAUUGUAUUCAACUUGUAUUCAACCUCUGUCAAGUGUUUUUGUUUCUAUAUUAAAAGCCCACAUUGACUUCUACAUAUUUGGUGCGGU